GAUGAAGAACGUAGCGAAAUGCGAUAAGUAAUGUGAAUUGCAGAAUUCAGUGAAUCAUCGAAUCUUUGAACGCACAUUGCGCCCCUUGGUAUUCCGGGGGGCAUGCCUCUUCCAGCGUCAUUUCACCCCUCAAGCUCUGCUUGGUUUUGGGCCGCGCCGGCAACGGCGGGCCUCGAAAAUAGUGGCGACGCCAUCGUGCUCUCAGCGUAGUAAUUCUUCUCGCUGUUGGGUCCCGGUGGUCGUCCGCCAGCGACCCCCAACUUUCUUAAGUUUGACCUGGGAUGAGGUAGGGAUACCCGCUGAACUUAAGCAUAUCAAUAAGCGGAGGA
rnacentral:misc_RNA from 1 species